rnacentral:misc_RNA from 1 species
UUGGUCGUGCACGCCGGAGUGUGUCCUCUCACAUAACAAUCCAUCUCACCCUUUGUGCACCACCGCGUGGGCACCCUUUGGGGUCACAUCGAUCUCAGACGGGGGCUCACGUUUUCACACAAAAACCCCCCUUUAAAAAGUGUAGAGAAUGUCCUAAUUUACGCAAUCAAUACAACUUUCAACAACGGAUCUCUUGGCUCUCGCAUCGAUGAAGAACGCAGCGAAAUGCGAUACGUAAUGUGAAUUGCAGAAUUCAGUGAAUCAUCGAAUCUUUGAACGCACCUUGCGCCCCUUGGUAUUCCGAGGGGCACACCCGUUUGAGUGUCGUGAAAAUCUCAACCUCCUUGGUUUCUUCUGGAGAUCAAAGGAGGGUUGGACUUUGGAGGCCUUUGCUGGUGUCUCUCUCUCCAGCUCCUCUUGAAUGAAUUAGCGGGGUCCUCUUUGCCGACCCUUGACAUGUGAUAAGAUGUUUCCGUGUCUUGGUUUCUGGCUCUGUUGCCUUUGGGACCCGCUUCCAACCGUCUCGUCUNGAGACAAUGUUCGAGCCCGUCUCCCUUCUCGGGAAACCCCUCUCGACCCCANGAACCCUGGCCUCAAAU